GACGAACGCUGGCGGCGUGCUUAACACAUGCAAGUCGAACGGAAAGGUCUCUUCGGAGACACUCGAGUGGCGAACGGGUGAGUAACACGUGGGCAAUCUGCCCUGCACACCGGGAUAAGCCUGGGAAACUGGGUCUAAUACCGGAUAGGACCACUUGGCGCAUGCCUUGUGGUGGAAAGCUUUUGCGGUGUGGGAUGGGCCCGCGGCCUAUCAGCUUGUUGGUGGGGUGACGGCCUACCAAGGCGACGACGGGUAGCCGGCCUGAGAGGGUGUCCGGCCACACUGGGACUGAGAUACGGCCCAGACUCCUACGGGAGGCAGCAGUGGGGAAUAUUGCACAAUGGGCGCAAGCCUGAUGCAGCGACGCCGCGUGGGGGAUGACGGCCUUCGGGUUGUAAACCUCUUUCACCAUCGACGAAGGUCCGGGUUCUCUCGGAUUGACGGUAGGUGGAGAAGAAGCACCGGCCAACUACGUGCCAGCAGCCGCGGUAAUACGUAGGGUGCGAGCGUUGUCCGGAAUUACUGGGCGUAAAGAGCUCGUAGGUGGUUUGUCGCGUUGUUCGUGAAAUCUCACGGCUUAACUGUGAGCGUGCGGGCGAUACGGGCAGACUAGAGUACUGCAGGGGAGACUGGAAUUCCUGGUGUAGCGGUGGAAUGCGCAGAUAUCAGGAGGAACACCGGUGGCGAAGGCGGGUCUCUGGGCAGUAACUGACGCUGAGGAGCGAAAGCGUGGGGAGCGAACAGGAUUAGAUACCCUGGUAGUCCACGCCGUAAACGGUGGGUACUAGGUGUGGGUUUCCUUCCUUGGGAUCCGUGCCGUAGCUAACGCAUUAAGUACCCCGCCUGGGGAGUACGGCCGCAAGGCUAAAACUCAAAGGAAUUGACGGGGGCCCGCACAAGCGGCGGAGCAUGUGGAUUAAUUCGAUGCAACGCGAAGAACCUUACCUGGGUUUGACAUGCACAGGACGCGUCUAGAGAUAGGCGUUCCCUUGUGGCCUGUGUGCAGGUGGUGCAUGGCUGUCGUCAGCUCGUGUCGUGAGAUGUUGGGUUAAGUCCCGCAACGAGCGCAACCCUUGUCUCAUGUUGCCAGCGGGUAAUGCCGGGGACUCGUGAGAGACUGCCGGGGUCAACUCGGAGGAAGGUGGGGAUGACGUCAAGUCAUCAUGCCCCUUAUGUCCAGGGCUUCACACAUGCUACAAUGGCCGGUACAAAGGGCUGCGAUGCCGCGAGGUUAAGCGAAUCCUUUUAAAGCCGGUCUCAGUUCGGAUCGGGGUCUGCAACUCGACCCCGUGAAGUCGGAGUCGCUAGUAAUCGCAGAUCAGCAACGCUGCGGUGAAUACGUUCCCGGGCCUUGUACACACCGCCCGUCACGUCAUGAAAGUCGGUAACACCCGAAGCCAGUGGCCUAACCCUCGGGAGGGAGCUGUCGAAGGUGGGAUCGGCGAUUGGGACGAAGUCGUAACAAGGUAG
rnacentral:rRNA from 1 species